UGGGGAAUUUUGGACAAUGGGCGAAAGCCUGAUCCAGCCAUGCCGCGUGAGUGAAGAAGGCCUUCGGGUUGUAAAGCUCUUUUAGUCGGAAAGAAAGAGUUGCAAUGAAUAAUUGUGAUUUAUGACGGUACCGACAGAAAAAGCACCGGCUAACUACGUGCCGGCAGCCGCGGUAAUACGUAGGGUGCGAGCGUUAAUCGGAAUUACUGGGCGUAAAGGGUGCGCAGGCGGUCUUGCAAGUCAGAUGUGAAAGCCCCGGGCUUAACCUGGGAAUUGCGUUUGAAACUACAAGGCUAGAGUGCAGCAGAGGGGAGUGGAAUUCCAUGUGUAGCAGUGAAAUGCGUAGAUAUGUGGAAGAACACCGAUGGCGAAGGCAGCUCCCUGGGUUGACACUGACGCUCAUGCACGAAAGCGUGGGGAGCAAACA
rnacentral:rRNA from 1 species